UAGGGAAUAUUGGACAAUGGGGGCAACCCUGAUCCAGCCAUGCCGCGUGAGUGAAGAAGGCCCUCGGGUUGUAAAGCUCUUUUGUCCGGAAAGAAAAGCAUUCGGUGAAUACCCGGAUGUUCUGACGGUACCGGAAGAAUCAGCACCGGCUAACUUCGUGCCAGCAGCCGCGGUAAUACGAAGGGUGCAAGCGUUACUCGGAAUUACUGGGCGUAAAGCGUGCGUAGGUGGUUGUAUAAGUCUGAUGUGAAAGCCCUGGGCUCAACCUGGGAAUGGCAUGGGAAACUGGGCAGCUAGAGUGCGGUAGAGGGUAGUGGAAUUCCAGGUGUAGCAGUGAAAUGCGUAGAGAUCGGGAGGAACAUCUGUGGCGAAGGCGACUGCCUGGACCAGCACUGACGCUGAGGCACGAAAGCGUGGGGAGCAAACA
rnacentral:rRNA from 1 species